ensembl:lncRNA
CGACAAACAAAAGGCCUGAGAGAGAAGCAGCAGUGAUGGCGAUCUAGAAGUGGCAGCUGACAGCCGCAAGCGGCGGCGGCGCCGGAGUUGGCGUCAGUGCGAGGCUGGGAGAGCUUGGCGUGGUGCGAGGCUGGGAGAGCUUGGCGUGAAGCGAGCCAGGAGGAUACAGCGCCGAUACGCAAGGACGCAGGGCGAGGUGUCCGACUGCUUCAGCAACUGGAGGCCAGAUUUCGCGUCUGCGGAAACUAGAGGCGGCGAGGCGGGCCGGUGCCGAUUGGCGAUUACAAAGAAGCAGCGGGCAGAGUUAAGAGCUCUGCCCACUCGGGCGCACCGGGGCGCAGAACGCGAAGAGGAAGACGAGGACGCCGCCGGGUUUCCCUCCUGCACCGCUUCACUGGAUUUUUAAAUUUUUAGUGACUUUUAUACCGUGGCGAUCGCCACUGGACUUUUAAUCUUGUGUUUUAUUGAUGUUUAUGGUGUGUUCCCCCCUGGCCAGGGCUGUUUUAAUCUAUUUUACAUUUUUUUAACGGUUUAAAUGUAAUAAAUUAUAUUUUCUCUUUACAGUCUUUAAAUUUGUUGUGCAUUCCCUUGGCUGCCCCACUGCUCUGUCCGUUUUAGGAGGGUUUCUCUCUUUUUAAUAUCUGUGCAAAGAAACUCCUUCCCUCCCUCCGUUACAGUUACAAAAUGUCAUAAGAUGCUGCGUGGCUGUACAAGAUAGACUUUGGUUAGCAACAACUCUCUGAGGCCUUUACUAUGAAGCAGAAUGCUGUCUUUUCCGGCUAACUUCAAGGGUCAAGUUAUCUUUUGAACCUAAUCUGCUCCAGAGCAAUUUAUGUUCCAAAUGUGAGAUCAACAGGUACAAAAUCACCACCUACUAACCAGUAAGACCAAAAAGAACAAAAUAAAAUCACCAGUCCUGGAAGAUCCCUCAGACCACUGUGCGCAGAGAGUAGGAGGGUGUAAAAUUUUUCAGCAGAGUCUGAUGUCUUUGUCUUUCCAUGAUUAGCAACGAUAAUGAAUAUAGAUUCUCUACAACAACUUUACUGUUUUGGAAGUAUUAAUAUAUGAUCCUAAAGCAGGACACUUGCACUGUAAUUGAUGACCUCACAUCACAUGUUAAAAUUGCACUUUUACAUUUAACCUUUUAAUCAGACCAGCAAAAAGCUCAUACUCAAUUUUAGCAGCAGUCAUUGUGACACUGAUGAUAAAACUUGUGUAAAAUUGCAAAACUGUAAAAAAAAAGGCAUUUUUGUAGCUCAAUGUUUUAAAUUACAGUUAACUUCACUGCUUUGCUGUUUCACCUGUAACACAUUAAAAUAACAUGCUAAGGUUUAAUGAGCUAUAAGGAAUACACUCUGAGCCCUGAGCCCUGGGCAGUGUUGUGCUAAUAAGAGAAGUUUUGUGUGUGCAGUGAACCAGUAAGUUUUGUAUUUCAUAAUUUAUUGAUUUUCUAUUAUCCUUUCUGACCUGCGUUAAUGAAGCAGCCAUUAGAGCACCAUGUCUGCUCUAACAGUUUUGUAGUUUGAUGCUUGAGUUAUUGCAGACUAGUUGAAACUCCUGUCAAAGCAGCGUCUGUGUAAUUCGCGUCCAGCAGAUGGCAGUGUUUCACUGUCAAAUGAUGGCUGUCUGACGCUUCA